rnacentral:lncRNA from 1 species
UGUUUAACGUGUCCUACGAUGCUGCGUUGAGGAACUUCUACACAUUCCUGCAGACGACGGUUUACAACAUUGACGUGGGGACAACGAAGGAGUCGCCGAGGUUGAGAGAGAUCAGAGCGCGGCUGUUGAACCAGCACGCCGUCAGUCCCACAGAGUAACGAGCGGAGUGUGGAACGUUAAGAAAAAGAAAGAGGAGCACGAGGACAUCGGAGCCGACCAAUGACGCGCUGAGCCUGAAGCGGGCGGCCUGGAGGGCGGCGUCCAGGCGCUACUACGCUCGGAAAGUGGCCCGUCAGCAGCUCAGACCCUCGCAGCCCACCUCCUUCCUCCAGAUGGGAUUCUCCACUCCGAUGCUCCAGGACUCUCAGAGGGCCACAGCCAGGGGCUACUAUGGCCGAAAGAGGGCCCUGAACCAGCCUGGAGACCCUCAGGGAGCCAACAUGGACUCUAGUCACAGUGAAGGAAUCCUGUGCAGCUGAUGGAAAGGUUUUAGGUUCAAAAUAUUUUAUGAUCCUGAUCAAUAUUCAAUGAACUUUUACACUUUAAUAAAAGAUCAAAAAGUGCAAAAAAGAACCUUGUG